GAACUGCGAUAAGUAAUGUGAAUGGCAGAAGUCAGUGAAUCAUCGAGUCUUUGAACGCACAUUGCGCCCCCUGGCAUUCCGGGGGGCAUGCCUGUCCGAGCGUCAUUGCUGCCCUUCAAGCCCGGCUUGUGUGUUGGGUCGUCGUCCCCUCCGGGGGACGGGCCCGAAAGGCAGCGGCGGCACCGCGUCCGGUCCUCGAGCGUAUGGGGCUUUGUCACCCGCUCGAUAAGGACCGGCCGGGCGCCAGCCGGCGUCUCCAACCUUUUUUUCUCAGGUUGACCUCGGAUCAGGUAGGGAUACCCGCUGAACUUAAGC
rnacentral:misc_RNA from 1 species